CGACCCCUUCCCGAUAAAAGAGAGCCCUUCCUCCCUCUCUCUUUUUCUUCUCUCAUGUUGAAACACCACGAAAGGAGAGCGUACUCCUCUGUUAAAACCGUCUGCUACCUCCAGCAAGAUUCGAUUGUAGCCAGCCCUCGUGAUCACUUACCCAGCUCCUGUGAACCCUACGGAGCUGCCAUUUGCAGAGAUUCGUCCUUCGCGUUGCCUCAGAUGCGAGAAAUAGUGGUUUGCUUUCUUCACCCUUGAAGAGUCUACAAAAGUGGCAAAAUCAUCUAACUUCUAAGUCAGAUCAUCCUUCGAAAUUUUUCAUUCAAACUCAGGCAGUCUAGUUGAAGCUUUGGUCCCUACAUCCGCAAGCCUAUCUCUCCUCUUCAAGAGUUAGAAAGCUGUCCAAGAUCAUGCUUUCAAUAACCUCCUUCAAGCUUGAUUCUUUACUUCAAUAGUAGCAGCAAUUUGUGGAUCGGCUGAAAGGGAGAACUCCAGAGGAUUGUUGGUAUCAUCGCUUACUUAGGGUAAGGGAAGAAGUAUGGUAGUGAUCCCAUAAUCAAUUGUUCAGAUCUAAGGUUUAACAUCUGUAUACACUCACAUUUGAAGGUGAUAGCGUGGGGGAAAAAAAAAGGUCGUUUGACGAACCUCUCUCUUUCUCCCUCGAUCUCUCUCGAUCUCUCUAAUUUCUAAGGUAAUAUUCCAAUCAUUUUCUUAUUCCUGAUAUGUAUAUUUCGAUUGUGACAUCUAUGUUUAGUAGUUUCAUACAUUUGUGAAAACAUGUUGCCAUUUGGAAUGCAAGAGUGGUUCCCCAUUAUACAUGGAGUCUAAAGCCUCAUAAGAAUUUGUUCAUUUAAAAAUCAUAUUAGUGAUUGUUUGUCCUUAAAUCGCAGAAUUUCCCAAGCGUGGUCAUAUAUUGGUUUACAAGUCCACCUCUCUUUGCCCCAUUACCCCAUCUGUGGUAGCUGAAUUCUAUGCCCUACAUCAAGAAAAGUAAGGGGAAUUUUAACCACCUAUUGUUUGAUAGGAAGAUGCCAUUUUGUGCAAUCAUUCCUUAUCGAAAAUUUGUGUUCUUCUAUGAAUCUCCCAAUACAUAUCUUCAACUGACAUCUAUCAAUUUCUACUAGUUUACUUGUUCCAAACUGAAUAUCACGACAGUGAAGUAGUUAUAAAUUGUGGUUAUUUGGGUCAUUUCAAAUUAUAGUUGUCCUUUCGUAUAUGUAUGAUAUGGAAUUUAUAUUUAAACUCAUAUAUAUUUACAUAUUAAUUCAAGGCAAGCAUUACUCUGUUGACUCGGGCUACACAAAUCAAUGGGGUAUUUGGUCCCAUUUCGCAGAGAAAGGUGUCACUUACAAGAUUAUGGUGAGGGUAGACUUGGGCCUAGAACAAUCAAGGAAUUGUUCAAUCACAGACACUCCUCAUUGCGGUAUGUUAUUGAAAUAACAUUCGGUGUCUUGAAAAAUAGAUUCCAAAUUUUAAGGAGUAUGAAGGUAUACGAUAUUGAAGAUCAGACAAGAAUCAUAGUCGCUUGUUGUAGGAUCCACAAUUACAUCAAGGAAUAGGCAAUCCAAGGUGAGUUAUUUAAUGAGCUUGGAAGUGAACAACCUGUGGAGGACCCUAUGAAUCCCAAUUCUUAGGUGUACCAUGCUUCAACAUUUGAUACGUCCCAGAGACGCUCAGCAAGACAAAUGUCCUAUGUACGCCUAAAUAUAGCCAAUCAAUUGGUUAUAUCGAGGAGAAUGGCUACGAUUCCUUUAGGUGGAUCAUAAAUUUUGUCAAUCACAGUCGGAAUUUGUUAUAUGUUUCACAUGUAUUGAGUGAUGUAAUUGGUAGGAUUUGAAUUUAUAUUAGUUGGGUAUAUAUGUUGUAACAAUAUUAUUUAUAUUUUAUGAGUGUUGUGCUACCAUAUAGUGUUGUAGAAUUUGAUUAUAUGCUGUUGUUAAUAAUAAGAUUUUGUCCCUACAUGAUACUUUGGUCUGCAAGGUAGUAAUUGUGCUCUGCAAAUGUCUUCAAGUGAUACCGUAUUGGCUAGGUGUGAAUUUUGUAAUGCUUUAUGCUAUGAGUUCAUAACCAAACAAGGGCCUAAUAGUGGUAGAGCGUACUUCAAAUGUCUGAGGCAUAAUGAUUUUUUCAUGUGGGUAGAUGAAUUUCGAUUAUGUGACUGUGGCGAAGGACAAUGUAAGGUACGCAUCGCAAAGACCUCAACGAACUAUAAUCGUCGAUUCUAGUGUUGUCCAAAAUCAACUGGGACCCAAGAUCGAAGUUGCAAAUUUUUUGGAUGUAUAUAUGGUGACAGCAGUGCCUUAACUACACUUUCAUCCGAUUGUGCGGGAAGUUCGACGAUUGAAGGCUACUCUUCUUCAUCAGCACCAACCUCUGAUUUUGUGAAGGGGUACUUACAAAGAGCAAUCAAAGGUGAAGAGGAGAAGAGUAGAGUAUUGAAAAGUAAGAUUGAAGUAUCUGAGGAAAAGAGAAGGAUAUUUACAGAUAUCCUAGGUGUAAUUAAUGAGUUGGACAUAAACAAAGGAGGUAGUUAGAUGAUCAUGACAGAAUGCUAAAGUUGAUGUUAGACAUUUGACAUGGUGGGAAUAUUAUAAAAACUAUAUAAUAUUUUGUAUGCUAAUAUGUUGUAAUAAAAAAAAAAAUGACAUGUAAGAUAAAGUGUGGAAUUUUGGAA